GUGGGGAAUUUUCCGCAAUGGGCGAAAGCCUGACGGAGCAACGCCGCGUGGGUGAUGAAGAUUUUCGGAUCGUAAAGCCCUUUCAGCAGGGACGAAUACAAUGACGGUACCUGCAGAAGAAGCAUCGGCUAACUACGUGCCAGCAGCCGCGGUAAUACGUAGGAUGCAAGCGUUGUCCGGAAUUAUUGGGCGUAAAGCGAACGUUAGGCGGUUACUUAAGUUUGGUCUUAAAGACCGGGGGCUCAACUUCCGGGGAAUGGACUGAAUACUGGGUGACUAGAGGAUGUCAGAGGAAAGUGGAAUUCCAAGUGUAGCGGUGAAAUGCGUAGAUAUUUGGAGGAACACCAGUGGCGAAAGCGGCUUUCUGGGACAUUCCUGACGCUGAGGUUCGAAAGCUCGGGGAGCAAACAGGAUUAGAUACCCUGGUAGUCCGAGCCGUAAACGAUGGACACUAGGUGUCGGGGGUAUCGACCCCCCCGGUGCCGUAGCUAACGCGUUAAGUGUCCCGCCUGGGGAGUACGGUCGCAAGACUG
rnacentral:rRNA from 1 species